rnacentral:lncRNA from 1 species
UAACUGUAGAAGCGGGUGCAGUGGGGAUGACCUCUUCUUUCUCUCUUUGGCUCCUAGACCAGAGUUGGAGGCAUGCCUCAGACAUUGCAUCAAGAGGACAUUGAAGUUAUCAGACUCUGUGGGAUUCACUGGUAUAAUACCAACCUGAUGAGGCAGCAAUACAAAAACAGAAUAAACUCUUGGACAGAGCUGGUCCCUCAGGUUCACUAGACUUACUGGAAUAAGGCUAGGAAACUUUGGAAGAAAAAAGAAAAAAUUCACAUUUUAGCAAGUGUGAAUUCAGAGAUGUAAAAAAUAUUUUAAAAAGACAUCUGAAAAUAUUUGAUAAACCAAGUUGGCAAAGGAAGAUAGUUGGUUGUCAUCAUCUUCCAAAGUCCUUGUGCCUGUGUCAUUUGUUCGCAUAUCUGAUUACUAGCCAGAAACCUGUGUUUUCCUGAAUAUUGAACUUCUAAUAGCAAUUUAUAUUCAGUCACCAAGUUUUCUUUUUUAGCUAGAUCUUUAGUAAAACAUAUGGUAUUUGAAAGCACA